rfam:Planctomycetes bacterium SM23_32 WORSMTZ_36682, whole genome shotgun sequence.
UGUCAAGCUACCAAGAGUGCAGGGUGGAUGUCUUGGCGCCAACCGGCGAUGAAGGACGUGGAAGGCUGCGAUAAGCCCGGGGGAGCCGUCUAACAGGCUUAGAUCCCGGGAUCUCCGAAUGGGGCAACCCGAUGCCGCGGAAGCGGCAUCAUCCCCGUUUGAAAUCCGCCUACGGGCGGGGAUAGGGCGGGGAGGCAAACCGGGCGAAGUGAAACAUCUCAGUAGCCCGAGGAAAAGAAAGCAACCGCGACUCCCUUAGUAGCGGCGAGCGAAAGGGGAACAGCCCAAACCGUCCGCACCUUCGGGCGCGGGCGGGGUUGAGGGGCCAUCGCUACGUGUCCGCGUAGCCCUACGUGAACGGGACUGGAAAGCCCGGCCACAGAAGGUGAGAGCCCUGUAGCGGAAAGGGCGAAACGGACGCAGAUGGUACCCCGAGUAGCGUCGGACACGUGGAACCCGGCGUGAAACCGGGAGGACCACCUCCCAAGGCUAAGUACGCGUUGGCGACCGAUAGCGCAGAAGUAGCGUGAGCGAUCGAUGAAAAGAAUCCCUUCGAGGGAAGUGAAACAGAACCUGAAACCCUGUACUUACAAGCAGUCGGAGCACUGUGGAAGCGGCGAAUGCGGCUUCCCGUGUGACGGCGUGCCUUUUGGAGAAUGAGCCGGCGAGUUAAGCUGCGUCGCGCAGGUUAAGUGCCUCAGGCACGUAGCCGCAGGGAAACCGAGUGUUAACAGCGCGACCCUCGUGGCGCGGCUUAGACGCGAAGCCGGGUGAUCUAUCCAUGGCCAGGAUGAAGCGACCGUAAAAGGUCGUGGAGGUCCGAACGCACCGAUGAUGCAAAAUCGGGCGAUGAGCUGUGGAUAGGAGUGAAAGUCUAAUCAAACCCGGGGAUAUCUCGUUCUCUCCGAAAUAGCUUUAGGGCUAGCCUCCUGUUGUAGGCGACGGGGGUAGAGCACUGAAUCGAUUCGGGGGCCCACCAGGUUACCCAUUCGAAUCAAACUCCGAAUACCGUCGCCCGGAAGCAGGGGAGUCAGACUGCGGGGGAUAAGCUCCGUGGUCAAAAGGGAAACAGCCCAGACCGUCAGCUAAGGCCCCUAAAGUGCGCUAAGUGCAUCGAAAGGAAGUGGAGAAGCUAAGACAGCCAGGAUGUUGGCUUAGAAGGAGCCAUCAUUUGAAAAGUGGGUAACUCCUUACUGGUCGAGCCUCUCUGCGCCGAAAAUGAACGGGGCUCAAGCGCACUGCCGACGCUACGGGCCUUGUCCCGCCUUGGCGGGACGGGGCGGUAGGAGAGCGCUGUAUGCAGGGGCGAAGGCGUACCGAAAGGAGCGCUGGACCGCAUACAGGUGAGAAUGCCGGCAUGAGUAGCGUGAAAGGGAGUGAGAAUCUCCCUCGCCGAAAACCCAAGGUUUCCUGGGCAAGGUAAUUCCUCCCAGGGUUAGUCGGGACCUAAGGCGAGGUCGAAAGGCGUAGCCGAUGGACAGCAGGUUAAUAUUCCUGCACCGCUGGUAGCCGCGACAGCUGUCUGGCCGACGCGAUCAGGCGGAGCCGCACGAUCAAACAGACAUGGUCAGAAGGGCCGUAGGCCCGCAUGUGGCCGAGCCGAUCGCCGAGAAAAACGCCAGCCAGGGGCUACUUGCGCCCGUACCUAAACCAACACUGGUGGGUGAGGAGAGAAUCCUCAGGCGCUCGAGAGAACCGCCGUUAAGGAACUCGGCAAAUUGGGUCCGUAACUUCGGGAAAUGGACCGCCUUCGUACGGCCGCUUUUCGGAGUGGCCGUCUCGGAGGUCGCAGUGAAGAGGCCCGGGCGACUGUUUACUAAAAACACAGGUCUGUGCAAAGGCGCAAGCCCAAGUAUACAGACUGACGCGUGCUCGAUGCCAUAAAGUCAAGGGAGGGGGUUAUCCCGCUUCGGCGGGAGAAGCUCUCAACCUAAGCUAUGGUGAAUGGCGGCUCUAACUAUGAGAGUCCUAAGGUAGCGAAGUUCCUUGUCACCUAACUGGUGACGUGCAUGAAUCGCGUAACGACCUGGGCACUGUCUCAACGGCGGACUCGGCGAAAUUGUGAUCGUGGUGCAGACGCCACGCACCCGCGGCGGGACGGAAAGACCCCGUGGACCUUUACUGCAGCAUGGCAUUGGGUUCUGGCAGUGCAUGUGUAGCAUAGGUGGGAGGCUGUGAAGUCCCUUCGCCAGGAGGGGCGGAGCCGUCAGUGGAAUACCACCCUUGCUCUGUUAGGUCUCUAACCCCGACCCGUGAAACCGGGCGGAGGACAGUGCUUUGUGGGCAGUUUGACUGGGGAGGUCUCCUGCCAAAAAGUAACGGAGGAGCCCAAAGGCUCCCUCAGUGCGGUCGGCAAUCGCACGUUGAGUGUAAAGGCAUAAGGGAGCUUAACUGCGAGACGUCUCAGUCGAGCAGAUGUGAAAGCAGGGCUUAGUGAUCCAGCGGUUCUGUGUGGAAGGGCCGUUGCUCAACAGAUAAAAGGUACCCCGGGGAUAACAGGCUCAUCUCCCCCAAGCGACCAUAGCGACGGGGAGGUUUGGCACCUCGAUGUCGGCCCAUCGCAUCCUGGGGCUGAAGAAGGUCCCAAGGGUUCCGGAGUUCACGGAUUAAAGCGGUACGCGAGCUGUUGUCCUGCUAAGGGCAUCGCUGGGUAGCUAUGUUCGCAAAGGAUAACCGCUGAAAGCAUCUAAGCGGGAAGCCGUCUCCAAGAUUAGCUAUCCGGUCCCCUUCGAGGGAAUAAGGCACCUCUAAGACCAAGAGGUUGAUAGGCCGGAGGUGUAAGUGCGCAUACAUAAAGGCACUUAGCUGACCGGUACUAAUCCGCCGAAAGGCUGACACA